rnacentral:rRNA from 1 species
ACGGGAGGCAGCAGUAGGGAAUCUUCCGCAAUGGACGAAAGUCUGACGGAGCAACGCCGCGUGAGUGAUGAAGGUUUUCGGAUCGUAAAGCUCUGUUGUUAGGGAAGAACAAGUGCGAGAGUAACUGCUCGCACCUUGACGGUACCUAACCAGAAAGCCACGGCUAACUACGUGCCAGCAGCCGCGGUAAUACGUAGGUGGCAAGCGUUGUCCGGAAUUAUUGGGCGUAAAGGGCUCGCAGGCGGUUUCUUAAGUCUGAUGUGAAAGCCCCCGGCUCAACCGGGGAGGGUCAUUGGAAACUGGGAAACUUGAGUGCAGAAGAGGAGAGUGGAAUUCCACGUGUAGCGGUGAAAUGCGUAGAGAUGUGGAGGAACACCAGUGGCGAAGGCGACUCUCUGGUCUGUAACUGACGCUGAGGAGCGAAAGCGUGGGGAGCGAACAGGAUUAGAUACCUUGGUAGUCCACGCCGUAAACGAUGAGUGCUAAGUGUUAGGGGGUUUCCGCCCCUUAGUGCUGCAGCUAACGCAUUAAGCACUCCGCCUGGGAGUACGGUCGCAAGACUGAAACUCAAAGGAAUUGAC